GAUGAACGCUGGCGGCGUGCCUAAUACAUGCAAGUCGAGCGAACGGACGAGAAGCUUGCUUUUCUGAUGUUAGCGGCGGACGGGUGAGUAACACGUGGAUAACCUACCUAUAAGACUGGGAUAACUUCGGGAAACCGGAGCUAAUACCGGAUAAUAUUUUGAACCGCAUGGUUCAAAAGUGAAAGACGGUCUUGCUGUCACUUAUAGAUGGAUCCGCGCUGCAUUAGCUAGUUGGUAAGGUAACGGCUUACCAAGGCAACGAUGCAUAGCCGACCUGAGAGGGUGAUCGGCCACACUGGAACUGAGACACGGUCCAGACUCCUACGGGAGGCAGCAGUAGGGAAUCUUCCGCAAUGGGCGAAAGCCUGACGGAGCAACGCCGCGUGAGUGAUGAAGGUCUUCGGAUCGUAAAACUCUGUUAUUAGGGAAGAACAUAUGUGUAAGUAACUGUGCACAUCUUGACGGUACCUAAUCAGAAAGCCACGGCUAACUACGUGCCAGCAGCCGCGGUAAUACGUAGGUGGCAAGCGUUAUCCGGAAUUAUUGGGCGUAAAGCGCGCGUAGGCGGUUUUUUAAGUCUGAUGUGAAAGCCCACGGCUCAACCGUGGAGGGUCAUUGGAACCUGGAAAACUUGAGUGCAGAAGAGGAAAGUGGAAUUCCAUGUGUAGCGGUGAAAUGCGCAGAGAUAUGGAGGAACACCAGUGGCGAAGGCGACUUUCUGGUCUGUAACUGACGCUGAUGUGCGAAAGCGUGGGGAUCAAACAGGAUUAGAUACCCUGGUAGUCCACGCCGUAAACGAUGAGUGCUAAGUGUUAGGGGGUUUCCGCCCCUUAGUGCUGCAGCUAACGCAUUAAGCACUCCGCCUGGGGAGUACGACCGCAAGGUUGAAACUCAAAGGAAUUGACGGGGACCCGCACAAGCGGUGGAGCAUGUGGCUUAAUUCGAAGCAACGCGAAGAACCUUACCAAAUCUUGACAUCCUUUGACAACUCUAGAGAUAGAGCCUUCCCCUUCGGGGGACAAAGUGACAGGUGGUGCAUGGUUGUCGUCAGCUCGUGUCGUGAGAUGUUGGGUUAAGUCCCGCAACGAGCGCAACCCUUAAGCUUAGUUGCCAUCAUUAAGUUGGGCACUCUAAGUUGACUGCCGGUGACGAACCGGAGGAAGGUGGGGAUGACGUCAAAUCAUCAUGCCCCUUAUGAUUUGGGCUACACACGUGCUACAAUGGACAAUACAAAGGGCAGCGAAACCGCGAGGUCAAGCAAAUCCCAUAAAGUUGUUCUCAGUUCGGAUUGUAGUCUGCAACUCGACUACAUGAAGCUGGAAUCGCUAGUAAUCGUAGAUCAGCAUGCUACGGUGAAUACGUUCCCGGGUCU
rnacentral:rRNA from 1 species